rnacentral:rRNA from 1 species
GGAGUGGCGGACGGGUGAGUAACACGUGGGUAACCUACCCAUCAGAGGGGGAUAACACUUGGAAACAGGUGCUAAUACCGCAUAACAGUUUAUGCCGCAUGGCAUAAGAGUGAAAGGCGCUUUCGGGUGUCGCUGAUGGAUGGACCCGCGGUGCAUUAGCUAGUUGGUGAGGUAACGGCUCACCAAGGCCACGAUGCAUAGCCGACCUGAGAGGGUGAUCGGCCACACUGGGACUGAGACACGGCCCAGACUCCUACGGGAGGCAGCAGUAGGGAAUCUUCGGCAAUGGACGAAAGUCUGACCGAGCAACGCCGCGUGAGUGAAGAAGGUUUUCGGAUCGUAAAACUCUGUUGUUAGAGAAGAACAAGGACGUUAGUAACUGAACGUCCCCUGACGGUAUCUAACCAGAAAGCCACGGCUAACUACGUGCCAGCAGCCGCGGUAAUACGUAGGUGGCAAGCGUUGUCCGGAUUUAUUGGGCGUAAAGCGAGCG